rnacentral:pre_miRNA from 1 species
GAAACACCCUUAUGGGGCAGGACUUGCUUCAGUGGGGCUUUGGUGCUCACUGAGUCUGCCUCCUGAGUGUGUCCCU